rnacentral:rRNA from 1 species
AGAGUUUGAUCCUGGCUCAGAACGAACGCUGGCGGCAGGCUUAACACAUGCAAGUCGAGCGCCUCGCAAGAGGAGCGGCAGACGGGUGAGUAACGCGUGGGAAUCUACCCAUCUCUACGGAACAACUCCGGGAAACUGGAGCUAAUACCGUAUACGUCCUUCGGGAGAAAGAUUUAUCGGAGAUGGAUGAGCCCGCGUUGGAUUAGCUAGUUGGUGGGGUAAUGGCCUACCAAGGCGACGAUCCAUAGCUGGUCUGAGAGGAUGAUCAGCCACACUGGGACUGAGACACGGCCCAGACUCCUACGGGAGGCAGCAGUGGGGAAUAUUGGACAAUGGGCGAAAGCCUGAUCCAGCCAUGCCGCGUGAGUGAUGAAGGCCCUAGGG